rnacentral:rRNA from 1 species
UACGUAGGGACCGAGCGUUGUCCGGAUUCAUUGGGCGUAAAGAGCUCGUAGGCGGUGUGUCACGUCGUUCGUGAAAACCUGCAGCUUAACUGUGGGCGUGCGGUCGAUACGGGCAUCACUGGAGUUCGGCAGGGGAGACUGGAAUUCCUGGUGUAGCGGUGAAAUGCGCAGAUAUCAGGAGGAACACCGGUGGCGAAGGCGGGCCUCUGGGCCGAUACUGACGCUGAGGAGCGAAAGCGUGGGGAGCAAACAGG